rnacentral:rRNA from 1 species
CACACCGUAAAUGAUGCUCGCUAGGUGUAUAUUUCGCAUUGCGGAAUGUGUGCCGUAAGCUAACGCGUUAAGCGAGCCGCCUGAGUAGUAUAGUCGCAAGGCUGAAACUCAAAGGGAUAGGCGGGGGAACACACAAGCAGAGGAUUGUCUCGAUUAAUUGGAUAAUAAGCCAAGAAUCUUACCCCGGUUUGACAUCCUUCAAAUUCUGCAGAAACGUAGAAGUGCUCGGUUCGCCGAGAAUGAAGUGACAGGUGC